AGUCGAGGAAAACAUUUGGGCUUGAAAUGGUAGGAGUGUCCUUUUCUUUAUGCUACUUGGCCCCUUGGGUUAGGAGUUGGUGGUGGGUUUGAUCUCGGGCCAUAGCAGAAUUUUCAGCUGUGGGUGCGCAGAACAGAGAGUUUGCAUUUGCACAAGUUGCUAGUCUAGUGAUGCAUAUCAUGCACAUAAUCUUUAGUUAAAAGUCCUUCCCACUGCCACACAGAGACUCUCGUCGCUCGUUGAUAGUGUAUGAAAGGCGAAAUCAUUCAGAAUUUGAGAUAUAAGGGCUGAAAAUUUAGGAUUGAUUGCCUCUGCGUCUGCGUCUGCGCAAUUGAAGGCCAGCCGAAAAAAGAAAUGAUGCGAAACAUGGCCAGAAUAAAAUCCCUGUAUACGAUUUUGCUACAUAAACCAACGCCUAGCCAUUCCUCUGUUUUUAUGUCCAUUGCUGCUGCAUUUGCCUUGAAGCAAGUCCCAGCUUUAUCUUCAGCUCCAACGCAUUCUUUUACUCCGGUGGUCUUCCUUCGGUCGUCUUCUACUAGCAGCCCACAUUCGAAGUUGCAGAGCUCAGAUGAUGGCAGUUCCACAGCUAAUAGCAAAUUUGUUGCCCGUGAUGAUGAUGUUGACGACGACGACCAGGACUUAGACGACGGCGACUUGAGACUCUCCAGUUCACAUAAUGGUGAUGAAGGUCUUGCUGGAGAUGUAAAAAGCAUUGUGAAUAUAUUAAGUCUGCGAAAAUCGUUGGGGUCUGAGAUGACAAGGAAGCUUGAUGAAUGUUGCAUAGCAGCCUCAUCAGAGCUGGUGGUGGAAGUUCUUUCACGCGUUCGCAACGAUUGGGAAUCGGCAUUCGCCUUCUUCCUCUGGGCUGGAAAGCAGCCAGGCUAUGCUCAUUCGCUGCGCGAAUAUCAUUGCAUGAUCUCCAUUAUGGGCAAAAUGAGAAAGUUUGACACUGCCUGGGGUUUGAUUGAUGAAAUGAGAGGUUUGUCACUUGUCACUCCUCACACUCUCUUGAUCAUGAUUAGAAAAUAUUCUUGUGUACAUGAUGUUGGGAAGGCUAUCAACACUUUCUACGCUUAUAAGCGCUUUAACUUGGUGGCUGGGAUGGAUGACUUCCAUGGCCUUCUCUCCGCCCUUUGCCGCUACAAAAAUGUACAAGAAGCUGAGCAAUUGCUAUUCUGCAACAGAAAUGUCUUCCCCUUUAACACCAAGAGCUUUAACAUUAUCCUCAAUGGUUGGUGCAAUAUCAUUGUAAGUCCCCGUGAGGCCGAGAGAGUUUGGACUGAGAUGAGCAAGAGAGGUGUUGUGCACGAUGCUGUCUCGUAUUCAAGUCUCAUAUCUUGCUAUUCAAAAGCCUCUAACAUUAACAGGGUGCUCAAGCUCUUCGAUCGGAUGAAGGCAAUGAAGAUUGAGGCGGAUAGGAAAGUUUACAAUGCACUCAUUUACGCUCUUGGAAAGCGCAGGCUCCUGAAAGAGGCUACCAAUCUUGUGAAAACAAUGCAAGACAAGGGUAUUGCUCCCAAUGUUGUCACUUAUAACUCGCUCAUCAAACCUCUCUGCAAGGCCGGGAAAAUUGAUGAGGCUAGACACAUCCUUGAUGACAUGUUGCAGCGAGGCCAUCUUCCCACAAUUCAGACUUACCAUGCCUUCUUCCGUAUUUUGAGGACUGGAGAGAAAGUGUUUGAGCUCUUGGAGAUGAUGAAAUACACAGGUUGCCACCCAAAUACUGAUACCUACAUAAUGUUGAUUCGAAAAUUUUGUCGAUGGCGCCAGCUUGAUUACGUGUUCAAGUUGUGGAGUGAAAUGAGUGAGAAUGGAGUCAAUCCUGAUCGUAGCUCAUAUAUUGUGCUGAUACAUGGGCUCUUUUUGAAUGGAAAGUUGGAGGAAGCCUACAAAUAUUAUAUGGAGAUGAAAGAGAAACAGUAUUUACCAGAACCAAGUACAGAAGAGAUGCUUCAGUCAUGGCUGUCUGGUAAGCAGAUCUCCACAUUCCAAACAACUGAUAAAGAAGGAGAUCAACUGGACUGUAGUCAGCCAGACAUGAAAACUAGUGUAAUAUCCAAUAAAUCUCAUCAGGAAAAAGAUUUCCUUCGGCAACCUGAAACUAGGAAAGUUGUAAGGGAGCGGGGGUUUUCUUUUUGGGAGCAGUAGGUUUAAAUGAAAUAAGAAAUCUCUGUGUACACAUGGUCAUGGCUGGUCAGCAACCUUCAGCAUCAAGUUUCCAUCGACUUUGUACAGGACUGAGUCAUCCUGCAGUUAGUUCACUGAUAUGGUCUAUACUGUUGGUGAUGGCUGGUGGGUAUGACUGUACACACAUUUGUGGUGGCUUUGUGGGCUGUUACUACUGACUGAGGGGCAUCCUACAGUGGCAACUUCCUUGUAAUUGCCCUGUAGCAUACAUUGGUGACAACCGUUGUGUGCUACUGUGUUGUAUUUUUCUGGCAGUUGGUGACUAGUAUGGUACAGCAUCCAAUCAAAUUAAAUUGGUGCAUAGGUGAUUUUGUGACACUGUCUGGCAGACUGAUGCUAUAGUGCUUCAGAUUUUCGUGCUGUUAGAGGAAUACUGAAACUGAACUUUUACCAAACUUUUGUUCACCAUGGUUAGCUACUUUGGACUAUGGAGCAGCCUUUAUCAAUUACUCAUAUUCACGGUGAAUAUUUAUUUAGGAGAGGAAUGGAGGCAGGGGAAGAACAUUUGAAAUUCCAGAUUUAAUGUGAGUCCACAAACUAGGGCUGCUGCUUUGAACUGGUAAAUCUCUGCAUUUUGCAUAACUCAGUAUUAUUAUGGUAUUUUCAAUUAUGAAAAAAGAAAAAAGAAAGAAAAAGGGCUGUGGACACUUGGUUUGCUAUGGUUGGGACACGUGGAUCUACAGUUUAGGGUUUGUAACCUUCGAUGAAUGAAAUAUCAUCCAGGCUGUUUUUGUAGGUUAGACUCUUGAAAUUAGUGUGAUGGUUAGAUUCCUAUUCCUCCUUGUUUGGUAUCUGUUACUGUAACACUAAAGCUGAUAGAAAGUCAAGUCAAAAUUAAUAGUCACAAAACCGCACGUACUCCUCCACGUGUGGUACCAAGGAAGGAAGGAACCAAUUAACUUAAUUGUUGUUGUUCUACAUCUAUGAAUUAUGUAUGGGCUGCGAGUGUCCUUGUCAAGGAACUUUUUUCAAUGGGAUUUCCUUGGCUGAUAUGAAAUACCCGAUGUUUCCAUUGUUAAACAAAUCACAAUUUUGUAGAUGAAUGAAAUAAAGGUAGUGAUAGGUAGUCGUUGUCGUUAAUGGAUGUGGAGCC